GACUGUAGCCUGCUAGGCUCCUCUGUGCAUGGAAUUAUUCAGGCAGGAAUACUGGAGUGGGUUGCCAUUUCCUUCUCCAAUUGAGUCGGUGGUGCCAUCCAAAUAUCUCAUCCUCUGUUGCGAAUCUUUCUUAAGUACUCCUCCCCUCACUUGCCCACGACUGGGCAGCCACACACAUGCACAGACUCCCACGACUCUCUCUCUCUAGAUUCUUCUUCCAGGUUCAUUACGUUUUCAAACUCCCUUCUAACUCUUGCAUGGCAGUCAGGGUCUGCUGUAAGGCUUGCGCCCACAUGGACUGAAUUAAAAGGAUAAACAAAUGUAGAUUAUAACCAAACCACGUGAAACUGGGCAGGUGGUGGACUUUCAGUGAGUGAGGGGCUUGAUCAGUCCCUUGAGAAGGGCGCUCUGGGAGGAUGUGGACCCUUGUUGGGGGCAGCUCUCAGCAGAUCACAAGGUCACCUUCACAAGAUCAGGGAAGUCAUCUGCACUCUCUAGAGCAGAUGAGAGGGCUGGCGGACCUGUGGGUGCCCACCCGCCACUGGACCCACAGCCCCACCUGUGGACCCCUUAAUGCAUCUGGGACACAGCUAACCAGAUGCACGUUGCUUCUCUGCCUGUUUGAUUCUAAAACUUUUUUUUAUCCCCCCAGAUGAAACCCCCCAUGAUGGUUGAUUUUAAGUGUCAACUGGGAUUCCUGGACAGCUGUUGAAAACAUUAUUUCUGGGUGUGUCUGUGAGGAUGCUUCUGGAAUAGAUUAGCGUUUGCAUGGGUGACUUGACUGGAGAAACCUGCCCUCACCAAUGCACACGGGCGUCUCCCUGUCUGGGGAGGGCAUGGAUAGACAAUAAUGGCAGAGAAAGGGUGAACUCUCCCUGCUCUCCCAUCUCUCCUGCCCCGACAUUGAUGCUCCUAGUUCUUGGCCCUUCUGGGAACUAUGCCACCCAUUUUCUGGGCCCUCAGCUUACACACAUCAGGCUUGGGACUUCUCCGUCUCCAGAAUUAUUCGAGCCAGACCUUCAUAGUAAAUCCCUAUCUUCUCUCUCUCUAUUCUCCUGGUGCUGUUUCUCUGGGAAAUCCUUGCCUAUAGAACCCCAUUCCUACUAAGAAUUCACUCCCUACCUUCUCCCUCUAGCCACUGGCUACCAUUCAUCUACUUGCUAACUCUAUGGAGAUUCCUGUUCUGGAGAGUGCAUAUCAAUGGAAUCAUAUAGGUGGGCUUUUGUGUCUGGCUUAUUUCACUUAGCAUCAUGUUGUCAGCGUUCAUCCGUGUGGUACUUCCUUCCUUUGUACUGCUACAUCAUAUUCUGUUGUACAGGUAGACCAGCCUUUAUUUGUCCAUCCAGCCUUUGAGCCUGCCCAGAGCCUCUGGGUGUCUUGAGGGCUUCAUCGUGAGGGGCCUUCAGGAUUGAGAGCUGCUGGAAAGUGACUUUGUGUGACCUCGGUGCCUAGAACAGCGCCUAUGCAGAGGGCAUAUCCAGCAGGCGUUGUUUAGCCACUCAGUCGUGUUCGACUCUUUUGCAACCCCAUGGACUGUAGCCAACCAGGCUCCUCUGUCCAUGGGAUUCUUCAGGUGGGAAUACUGGAGUGGGUUGCCAUUUCCUUCUCCAGGAGAUCUUCCCGACCCAGGGAUGGAAUCCGCAUCUCCUGAACUGGUAGGUGGAUUCUUUACCACUGAGCCACCAGUGAAGCCCAGCAGAUACCUGCUGAAUAGCGCGUGGAUGAAUGAGUGAGCAUGUGCUGGGAGAAAUGAUGAGUGUCUGUGCUCUAAGCUCCUGGGGGGAAGAGGGGGUGUGCCAGCUGCUAAAACCACUUUGGGGAGAAAACAACGCAGAGCUCUGGGGGACAAGCCUGGGACUGGGAGCCAGGAACCUGGCCAUGGUUCUGACGGCACAUUGACUUUGUCAGUUACUUAGAAAAGAGAAGCGAGUUUCCUGUUGCAGCUGUAACAAGUCCCCACACGCUCUAUGGCUUAAAACCGCACACGUGUCUUAUCCCACAGUUCCGGAGGUCAGAAGCCUGACUUGAGUCUUUGGUCUAAAAUCAAGGUGUCAGCAGGGCUGUGCCUCUUCUGGGGGUUUGGGGAGAAGACCUGUUUGCUCGCCUUUUCCAGCUCCUAGAGGUGCCCAUAUGCCUUGGCUUGUGGUCCUUUCGUGCAGCCUCAAAACCAGCAGGGUACACAUCUCUGCCCCUUCUUCUUCCAUCUCAUCUAUGCAGCCAAGAAAGCCUCUCCCCUCCUAAGGGCUGGGGUGUGAUCGGAUCAGGACCAUCAGAUAAUCCACCAUGAUACUGCAUCUCAAAAUCUUUAAUUUAAUCACCUCCGCAGCAAACCUUUUCCAUGUAAGGUAGCGUACUCCCAGAUUCUGGAAUUAGGAUAUGAACAUCUUGGAGUGGGGGCUUUAUUCUGUUGACCACAGAAGCCUCUUGGCCUGAGGCUCGGUUUCCCCAGAGGAGGGGAGGGACGGCAGACAGUUUCCAAGAUGCUUCCCAGCUCUUGGUGCAGGUCAUCACAGCAGGAAAGAAUGAGGACUCCUAACUUAAUGAUGGAGUUCUAUAUCAUUGGAGCAGAUGCCUGGAGCUCGCCCCAUCUGGAAGAUGCUCUCUCAGACGUUUCCACUUGUUUUCUUCCUGGCUCCUAUCGCUGGCCUCUGAGAGCAUCGCCUCCUCUUUUCACAGGUGAGGGACGUGAGCUUCAGGGAAGCCAGGUGAAGCCCCUGAGAUGACCUGUCUCAAAAAUGGGGGCCUGACUGCCCCCAAACACCCUGCCUCAUCGCGUCUGUCUAACUCUGGAGCUGUGGAGUUCUCCAGUUUACACUUGGUGAUUUUGGAGAAAUGCAAACCACUUUAGGUUUUUUCUUUGAAGAUGGAGCUGCAAGAGAAACUACUGAGCAGUGGGCCACAUCUGGAGCUCCUAGCGCAGAAACAUCUGUGUCUGUGUGUGCACAGCUCGGGUCUGGGUGCCCCCUCUCUCAGGCUGGCACCUGUGGAUCCUGCCAUGUGCCCAGGAGACCAGCACAUGGGCACUGCUUCUCAGAUGAGGAACAGAGAGAUUACCAAGCCCCCAGCAACGUGCGAUGAGCAUUUCUUCUCAACCAAGUUCUCUGCUCCACCUCUGGCUUCUCCAUGGGUCUUAUGGAUCAGCCCCAAAGACGGAAGGCGAUGGGAGGGGAGCACAUAGAUCCCGUUGGCUUGGCAACUGCCCUUUCAACAGUUUAGUUGUUUCAAGGGACCCAGCGAGCUCUCUGAGCGGAGGGAAGGAUGGCGCACACAUGACUGUAAGGGCUGGCGCCUGAGUCCUCUCUGCCUGCUGAGCCUUGGAGAGCUACCGCCUGAGGAUGAACCCAGGAAGCCCCGAGUGGGGCUCCCUGGCAGAACCCCAGGGUGGAGUUGUCCUUCCGGGUCCCCUUGUUGGAACUUUGUGGGUGCCGUUUGGGAUCUUGGCGGUCCUGUUCAGAGAAUACAUG